CUUCCGGUGACGUCACGGGCGGACGACCUCGGUGGUCGGGAAGGUGGUUCAGACCCCCAGGAUAAACCUAAGACAGUAGAGGAAAAGAUUUUCUUUCCCAACAGCCAUUAGAUGUUACAGCAAAAUAAUUUAAUUUUAGAGUCAGGCCCAAGGUGAAUGAAGAAAUGGAAUGAAUACCAGCAUCCUGAAAGAAAAUGGCAUAGAGUCAGCUUUCUAUAAGAAGCAGUGACUGCUAAAAAAGGG